rfam:TPA: Bos taurus chromosome 2, whole genome shotgun sequence.
UCCCUUGUGGCUCAGCUGGUAAAGAAUCUGCUUGCAAUGCAGGAGACCUGGGUUCGAUCCCUGGGUUGGGAA